CCUACGGGGGGCAGCAGUGGGGAAUAUUGGACAAUGGGGGCAACCCUGAUCCAGCCAUGCCGCGUGUGUGAAGAAGGCCCUCGGGUUGUAAAGCACUUUCAGUGAGGAAGAACGCCUGGUGGUUAAUACCCAUCAGGAAAGACAUCACUCACAGAAGAAGCACCGGCUAACUCCGUGCCAGCAGCCGCGGUAAUACGGAGGGUGCGAGCGUUAAUCGGAAUUACUGGGCGUAAAGCGCGCGUAGGUGGCUUGAUAAGCCGGUUGUGAAAGCCCCGGGCUUAACCUGGGAACGGCAUCCGGAACUGUCAAGCUAGAGUGCAGGAGAGGAAGGUAGAAUUCCCGGUGUAGCGGUGAAAUGCGUAGAGAUCGGGAGGAAUACCAGUGGCGAAGGCGGCCUUCUGGACUGACACUGACACUGAGGUGCGAAAGCGUGGGUAGCAAACAGGAUUAGAUACCCCUGUAGUC
rnacentral:rRNA from 1 species